AUACGGAGGGUGCAAGCGUUACUCGGAAUCACUGGGCGUAAAGCGCGCGCAGGCGGUCUUUUAAGUUGGAUGUGAAAGCCUACGACUCAACCGUAGAACUGCAUCCAAAACUAUUAGACUAGUGUGUGGGAGAGGAAGAUGGAAUUAGUUGUGUAGGGGUAAAAUCCGUAGAGAUAACUAGGAAUACCAAAAGCGAAGGCAAUCUUCUGGAACACUACUGACGCUGAGGCGCGAAAGCGUGGGGAGCAAACAGGAUUAGAAACCCUAGUAGUCC
rnacentral:rRNA from 1 species